rnacentral:RNase_P_RNA from 1 species
AGAGUUGGCUGAGCAGUCGCUGUUUUAUCGCAAGAUAAGAUGGAGGAAAGUCCGGGCUCCACUGGGCAGGGUGCCAGGUAACGCCUGGGAGGCGUGAGCCUACGGAAAGUGCCGCAGAAAAUAUACCGCCUGUCACUAGUGCUCCAUGUGAGUAUUUAUGAUCGGUAAGGGUGAAAAGGUGCGGUAAGAGCGCACCGCGCAACUGGUAACAGGAGUGGCAUGGUAAACCCCACCCGGAGCAAGAUCAAAUAGAGGGACAGACGCGUGGCCCGCGCGGUUCCUGGGUAGAUUGCUUGAGCUGCUGAGUGAUCUGCAGCCUAGAUGAAUGACUGUUCUCGACAGAACCCGGCUUAUAGGCCGACUCUUUCU